rnacentral:rRNA from 1 species
GACGAACGCUGGCGGCGUGCUUAACACAUGCAAGUCGAACGGAAAGGCCCUGCUUUUGUGGGGUGCUCGAGUGGCGAACGGGUGGGUAACACGUGAGUAACCUGCCCUUGACUUUGGGAUAACUUCAGGAAACUGGGGCUAAUACCGGAUAGGAGCUCCUGCUGCAUGGUGGGGGUUGGAAAGUUUCGGCGGUUGGGGAUGGACUCGCGGCUUAUCAGCUUGUUGGUGGGGUAGUGGCUUACCAAGGCUUUGACGGGUAGCCGGCCUGAGAGGGUGACCGGCCACAUUGGGACUGAGAUAUGGCCCAGACUCCUACGGGAGGCAGCAGUGGGGAAUAUUGCACAAUGGGCGGAAGCCUGAUGCAGCAACGCCGCGUGCGGGAUGACGGCCUUCGGGUUGUAAACCGCUUUCGCCUGUGACGAAGCGUGAGUGACGGUAAUGGGUAAAGAAGCACCGGCUAACUACGUG